CGGAGAAAUUCCAAUCGAACCUGGAGAUAGCUGGUUCUCUCCGAAAUAGCUUUAGGGCUAGCCUCAAGUGAUGAUUAUUGGAGGUAGAGCACUGUUUGGACGAGGGGCCCCUCUCGGGUUACCGAAUUCAGACAAACUCCGAAUGCCAAUUAAUUUAACUUGGGAGUCAGAACAUGGGUGAUAAGGUCCGUGUUCGAAAGGGAAACAGCCCAGACCACCAGCUAAGGUCCCAAAAUAUAUGUUAAGUGGAAAAGGAUGUGGCGUUGCCCAGACAACUAGGAUGUUGGCUUAGAAGCAGCCAUCAUUUAAAGAGUGCGUAAUAGCUCACUAGUCGAGUGACACUGCGCCGAAAAUGUACCGGGGCUAAACAUAUUACCGAAGCUGUGGAUUGUCCUUUGGACAAUGGUAGGAGAGCGUUCUAAGGGCGUUGAAGCAUGAUCGUAAGGACAUGUGGAGCGCUUAGAAGUGAGAAUGCCGGUGUGAGUAGCGAAAGACGGGUGAGAAUCCCGUCCACCGAUUGACUAAGGUUUCCAGAGGAAGGCUCGUCCGCUCUGGGUUAGUCGGGUCCUAAGCUGAGGCCGACAGGCGUAGGCGAUGGAUAACAGGUUGAUAUUCCUGUACCACCUAUAAUCGUUUUAAUCGAUGGGGGGACGCAGUAGGAUAGGCGAAGCGUGCGAUUGGAUUGCACGUCUAAGCAGUAAGGCUGAGUAUUAGGCAAAUCCGGUACUCGUUAAGGCUAAGCU
rnacentral:rRNA from 1 species